rnacentral:rRNA from 1 species
GGCGCACGGGUGAGUAACACGUGACUAACCUACCCUUGAGUGGGGGAUAACCCCGGGAAACCGGGGCUAAUACCGCAUAACCUCGCGAGGUGCAAUUCCUUGUGAGCAAAGGAGCAAUUCGCUCUUGGAGGGGGUCGCGGCUGAUUAGCUAGUUGGUGAGGUAACGGCUCACCAAGGCUGUGAUCAGUAUCCGGCCUGAGAGGGCGCACGGACACACUGGAACUGAAACACGGUCCAGACUCCUACGGGAGGCAGCAGUGGGGAAUUUUGCGCAAUGGGGGAAACCCUGACGCAGCAACGCCGCGUGGAGGAUGAAGGUCUUUGGAUUGUAAACUCCUUUCGACCGGGACGAUGAUGACGGUACCGGUAGAAGAAGCACCGGCUAACUCUGUGCCAGCAGCCGCGGUAAUACAGAGGGUGCAAGCGUUGUUCGGAAUUAUUGGGCGUAAAGGGCGCGUA